AUCUAUACUGUGAAACUGCGAAUGGCUCAUUAAAUCAGUUAUCGUUUAUUUGAUAGUACCUUACUACUUGGAUAACCGUGGUAAUUCUAGAGCUAAUACAUGCUAAAAACCCCGACUUCGGGAGGGGUGUGUUUAUUAGAUAAAAAACCAAUGCCCUCCGGGGCUCCUUGGUGAUUCAUGAUAACUUAACGAAUCGCAUGGCCUUGCGCCGGCGAUGGUUCAUUCAAAUUUCUGCCCUAUCAACUUUCGAUGGUAGGAUAGUGGCCUACCAUGGUAUCAACGGGUAACGGGGAAUUAGGGUUCUAUUCCGGAGAGGGAGCCUGAGAAACGGCUACCACAUCCAAGGAAGGCAGCAGGCGCGCAAAUUACCCAAUCCCGACACGGGGAGGUAGUGACAAUAAAUACUGAUACAGGGCUCUUUUGGGUCUUGUAAUUGGAAUGAGUACAAUCUAAACACCUUAACGAGGAACAAUUGGAGGGCAAGUCUGGUGCCAGCAGCCGCGGUAAUUCCAGCUCCAAUAGCGUAUAUUAAAGUUGUUGCAGUUAAAAAGCUCGUAGUUGAACCUUGGGCCUGGCUGGCCGGUCCGCCUCACCGCGUGUACUGGUUCGGCUGGGCCUUUCCUUCUGGGGAUCCGCAUGCCCUUCACUGGGUGUGCCGGGGAACCAGGACUUUUACUUUGAAAAAAUUAGAGUGUUCAAAGCAGGCCUUUGCUCGAAUACAUUAGCAUGGAAUAAUAGAAUAGGACGUGCGGUCCUAUUUUGUUGGUUUCUAGGACCGCCGUAAUGAUUAAUAGGGAUAGUCGGGGGCAUCAGUAUUCAAUUGUCAGAGGUGAAAUUCUUGGAUUUAUUGAAGACUAACUACUGCGAAAGCAUUUGCCAAGGAUGUUUUCAUUAAUCAGUGAACGAAAGUUAGGGGAUCGAAGACGAUCAGAUACCGUCGUAGUCUUAACCGUAAACUAUGCCGACUAGGGAUCGGGCGAUGUUAUUAUUUUGACUCGCUCGGCACCUUACGAGAAAUCAAAGUCU
rnacentral:rRNA from 1 species